rnacentral:rRNA from 1 species
UACGGGGGGGGCAAGCGUUGUUCGGAAUUAUUGGGCGUAAAGGGCUUGUAGGCGGCCAACUAAGUCCGACGUGAAAUCCCCAGGCUUAACCUGGGAACUGCGUCGGAUACUGGAUGGCUUGAAUUCGGGAGAGGGAUGCAGAAUUCCAGGUGUAGCGGUGAAAUGCGUAGAUAUCUGGAGGAAUACCGGUGGCGAAGGCGGCAUCCUGGACCGACAUUGACGCUGAGGAGCGAAAGCUAGGGGAGCAAACGGG